rnacentral:rRNA from 1 species
AUACGUAGGUGGCAAGCGUUUGGCCGGAUUUACUGGGCGUAAAGGGAGCGUAGGUUGGAUAUUUAAGUGGGAUGUGAAAUACUCGGGCUUAACCUGAGUGCUGCAUUCCAAACUGGAUAUCUAGAGUGCAGGAGAGGAAAGUAGAAUUCCUAGUGUAGCGGUGAAAUGCGUAGAGAUUAGGAAGAACACCAGUGGCGAAGGCGCUUCUCUGGACUGUAACUGACGCUGAGGCUCGAAAGCGUGGGGAGC